CGAAACGUGUGACAUAUCAGUAAUGAUAGGGAAGCGACUCAGAGCACUGGUGUGUCCCUUUUUGUUCUACUUCGUCACGUUACGGCCCGACUUUAAGUUUUCACUCUUUUUCUGUAAAUGAAGAUCUGAAAAAGAAGUGGCCAAUAACAUCCGCCGAGAGCAAUUUACAGCAACGAAACACACAAAAGUGUGCAGUAGACAUUUCGUUAAAAGUGAUCUGCUCGAAGCAAUGACUGGAACGCCUAUCAUCAACAACAGCCAAGACUUCGUGUUUGGGAGAGGAGAGAAAAACCCGAGCCUUUUGCCAAAGAAGAUGCAAUGAACUGUUCAGGAAAUUUGCUGACCCGUGAUUACUGUUCAGUACCAGAACCUGCAGUCCUUGAUUUAGCACUGUUGAAAACUGAAGAUUUGUCAAAGAAAAUGGAAGAACUGAAAACCAAAUUAGAAGAAAUAACUGCGAAACAACGCUAUGCUUUGCUCGCUCAAAUGAGAACAUCCGAUUUAACACGAGAUUUGCAAGUUACCGCCAUCAGAUCCUUUUGACAGCUGAUUGAACAUUCUGCUGCCAAGACUGUAGACAGUCACUGCAGUCCAUUAAUGAAUUUAUUCAUCUUACACUGGGCUUGAAGGCCUUCGCUUUAAUAUCCAUUGAUCCACCAUAAGUAGGAUAAUCAUCACCUUGGCCAACUCUCCCUACUGUUUUGGGCUCCAUCAGCAUCUGGAUGUCACCUGAGGAAGUACAACCCAACUUACACAAUGAUUUUAUCUAGAUACCCAGGAUAUAAUUGACUGCACAGAUCUGAAAUGCCAGUCACCUUCCUCCCUGCUUCUUCAGAGCGAGAUGUAUUCCAGCUACAAGUCACACUGUAUAAUGAAAGGAAUGUUGGGUAUGGUGACACAUGGAGCAGUAACAUUUGUCUCCUCCCUUUACGCAGGUUCUGUUAGUGAUAUUUAACCCUUAGCGGUUCAUUUAUUCAGUGCUUAUCAGGCACGUCUGGUCCAAUUAUUUUCA